GGUGUGUGUGUUGGCGGAUGAGCAACGGGCCGUUAUUAGCUCCCUUCAGUACUUCAAAGCUCUAGUGGACAGACUGGGAGUGGACAAACAGGUUUCUGGACCAGUCUGUGGUGGGCGGUCUGCUGGGUGGGGCAUCCAGCAGAGUCCUUGAAGCGGUCCAGACUCUGGUCCAGUUAGAGCCACACCUACACAACAGUAAGACCGUCACUCCUGUCUCACUCGUCUCUACCUGUCUCUGGCUCAGCUGAUUCGCUGGGCCGAUCAGGUAAUGCUGCAAGGCAUCGCCCACGACAACCAGGACUCAACAGCCAGCGUUACCUUGGUGAUCAGGGCGGUGCUGGACGGGGUCAAGGAACUGGUCCGAUUGGCUGCAGAGAGACAAGGCGACUCUGUCCCAUUGUCUCCUGUCCAAUGUGGGGUCACCGUGGGACAGACUUGUGCGUUUGACAACGUGCUGAAAUCAGAGGGACUUCUUGCAAAGGAAGAGGAGGAGGAAAGAAGACGGCUCCUCCUAAACCCCCAAUGCCCCUCACAGAACUCAUCUCUCCAGUGUCCCUCGCCAUGGUGUCCCACCCACAGGUGUCUCUCC